GGGGCUGUAGCUCAGCUGGGAGAGCGCGUGCUUUGCAAGCAUGAGGUCACCGGUUCGAAACCGGUCAGCUCCACCA
rnacentral:tRNA from 1 species